UCGUAAAACUCUGUUGUUAAAGAAGAACAUAUCUGAGAGUAACUGUUCAGGUAUUGACGGUAUUUAACCAGAAAGCCACGGCUAACUACGUGCCAGCAGCCGCGGUAAUACGUAGGUGGCAAGCGUUGUCCGGAUUUAUUGGGCGUAAAGCGAGCGCAGGCGGUUUUUUAAGUCUGAUGUGAAAGCCUUCGGCUCAACCGAAGAAGUGCAUCGGAAACUGGGAAACUUGAGUGCAGAAGAGGACAGUGGAACUCCAUGUGUAGCGGUGAAAUGCGUAGAUAUAUGGAAGAACACCAGUGGCGAAGGCGGCUGUCUGGUCUGUAACUGACGCUGAGGCUCGAAAGUAUGGGUAGCAAACAGGAUUAGAUACCCUGGUAGUCCAUACCGUAAACGAUGAAUGCUAAGUGUUGGAGGGUUUCCGCCCUUCAGUGCUGCAGCUAACGCAUUAAGCAUUCCGCCUGGGGAGUACGGCCGCAAGGCUGAAACUCAAAGGAAUUGACGGGGGCCCGCACAAGCGGUGGAGCAUGUGGUUUAAUUCGAAGCUACGCGAAGAACCUUACCAGGUCUUGACAUACUAUGCAAAUCUAAGAGAUUAGACGUUCCCUUCGGGGACAUGGAUACAGGUGGUGCAUGGUUGUCGUCAGCUCGUGUCGUGAGAUGUUGGGUUAAGUCCCGCAACGAGCGCAACCCUUAUUAUCAGUUGCCAGCAUUAAGUUGGGCACUCUGGUGAGACUGCCGGUGACAAACCGGAGGAAGGUGGGGAUGACGUCAAAUCAUCAUGCCCCUUAUGACCUGGGCUACACACGUGCUACAAUGGAUGGUACAACGAGUUGCGAACUCGCGAGAGCAAGCUAAUCUCUUAAAGCCAUUCUCAGUUCGGAUUGUAGGCUGCAACUCGCCUACAUGAAGUCGGAAUCGCUAGUAAU
rnacentral:rRNA from 1 species